rnacentral:rRNA from 1 species
UACGGGGGGGGCAAGCGUUGUUCGGAAUUACUGGGCGUAAAGGGCUCGUAGGUGGCCAACUAAGUCAUACGUGAAAUCCCUCAGCUUAACUGGGGAACUGCGUCUGAUACUGGAUGGCUUGAGUUUGGGAGAGGGAUGCGGAAUUCCAGGUGUAGCGGUGAAAUGCGUAGAGAUCGGGAGGAAGGCCGGUGGCGAAGGCGGCGCUCUGGAACAUUUCUGACGCUGAGGCUCGAAAGCGUGGGGAGCAAACAGG